AUCUUGCUGGACAUCCCUGUCUACCAGAGGCCUUCUAGAGGAAUGCUGCCUGUCUUGAGAAGAUUUCUGAAUUGCUCUUGAAACACAUGGGGUGUUCUGUCCUGCAAAGUGGGUUAUUCUUGAGGGCUCUGGACAUCAACAUGGCAGAUAUGACUUGGACCUCACCCACUGUCUCUUGCAUAGAUCAUACAAGUGUAAGGCACUGAAUGGAAAGGAUGGUGGCUUUAGUCCUACAGCCAGAAAGCAGAUUCUGCAGCAAUGAGAUGUUUAUUGCCUCACUGAAGUCUCUCCUUGUUCUAGUCCUCUGAUAUUCACUUCUGUUUUAAACUUGGAAAACAUAUACCUUGACUUGUUAGGGCUAAAUCAGUGUCUAACAGAUGUCAUUGCUGCAAGUGAAACCUAUUUAGAGCAAUAGUUGUGUGUGUAAAUACUGAACCAGCAGUCUAGAUUAUCCAAAUAAUAUAUAAUUAUAUAUAAAAAAGUAUAUAAACCAUAUACUCACUAAAUUGACUCAAAUGCAUACAAAGAAUAAGCACAGAAUUCAAGUAUAAAGUUUUAAAAGUCUAGGGCUAUAAGCGUGGUUUAAUGAAGUAUUGAUGAUGCUAGUUUGCCAUUAUCGUUGUUUCUGUCAGGUUGCUUCUCUCCAGGAAUUUGGAGAAAUAUCUAAAUGAAGUUGGAUCUGAUGACAGAAUUAACGUUGUUGUUUUUUAAUUUUCUAACUGAAAAUUUCAAUGAUGGGUCAUAAUGUGCUAGAUGAGUAUAUCCACAUUAUCUUGUUAGAGCAGAGGAGGCCAACAAGAAAGUUGAUGCAAUUCGUCCUCAUUCCUUUGCUUUACUGUGCUCUCUGCAAUGAUCCUUGUAUUUAUUGUUCAGUCUUGCAUUGUUUUUUCAGUUCCUCAGUAAAUGUCACAGAGGUUAACCUGAGGUUUUGUUUUAAGUGUAGCUCUGUUUGGAGAGCUUCCUUUUUGUAUUUCGCUUCUUAGUUCAGACAUGAAAGUGUUAAUUAAGGCAAAAAUGCUCAGUGUGUGCCUCAUUUAGAUGUUGCUGAAUAUAAUGUAUUGCUUCCUGGUAUUGCUGUAACGUGUGGAGCUAUUUUUAGCAAAUUAAAAUCAUUAUUUAUUUGGAAGAAUUUCAUGCAUCAUGCAUUUGUUGUCAGGUCUGCAUUCUUACUGGUGAAUUUACCUUUUGAGUUAUAUGCAGUUCUUCUGGAGAUAGAUAGCAUGAAAAUCUUGCUGCUGGUGCUGUUCUGUGCUAACAUGCUGAUUUUCAGGCUUCAAUUUCUUUGGCAAACAGUGAAAAUAUAGAACUUAUGAAGGUAACAGUCUGAAAAUAUAAGGAACAUGGAAUUCUCAUACAAACAGAGCAUUUCUUCUCAUAGUCAUGUGAAACACAUUUUAAGUGGUUGCUAUGAUUUUAAGCAAAUAUACUGUGACAAGAGUAGCCAGCAUUUCUGUAUAUGAUAUGUAACUGUGUGCUGUAGUAUAGCCAAGGAGGUUUCAUGGAUGCAUUCCUAAAAAUCUGGAGGUGUUUUUGCCUUCCUGUUUGUGAAAAUGAUAAAUAACUGAUAAGAAAAUUUCUUGGUCUCUUGUUUGAUGCAUCCGUGUUGAUGAAAAAGGACUAUAAUACAUUUUUUUUCUGCAUGGGGGAACAAAAAUUCCCUCAGUCUUCGUAUGUUC
ensembl:lncRNA